rnacentral:rRNA from 1 species
GCAACUCGACUGCAUGAAGUCGGAAUCGCUAGUAAUCGCAGAUCAGCAAAGCUGCGGUGAAUACGUUCCCGGGCCUUGUACACACCGCCCGUCACACCACGGGAGUCGGUCGCGCCUGAAGCCGGUGGCUUAUCAGUAAUGGGGGAGCCGUCUAUGGCGAGAUUGGUAACUGGGGUGAAGUCGUAACAAGGUACC